UAAACAAGCCUAAUCCAGCCCAGGAGCGGGGGAACCAAGUUUUUGGGGUGAGCGCUUUGCUCGCGGUGCAGGUGGUAGCAUCUGUUCAUGGCGAAAUCAGCGGGGGUGGUCCUUUCUACCCUAACCCGGCAGCUAACCUCGUAGGCGCAUAGAGAGAGGA
rnacentral:sRNA from 1 species